rnacentral:rRNA from 2 species
CCACCACCAAAGCAUUCUCUGGUGUUGAAGGCCCUGCAAAGCAGCAUCGCGGUGGCGGAGCGUCGUUUGCGACGCCCAACACACAAAACAAGCGGUGAGUGCUUUGGGGUGGGGUGACUGCGUACCUUUUGUAUAAUGGGUCAGCGACUUAUAUUCUGUAGCAAGGUUAACCGUAUAGGGGAGCCGAAGGGAAACCGAGUCUUAACUGGGCGUUAAGUUGCAGGGUAUAGACCCGAAACCCGGUGAUCUAGCCAUGGGCAGGUUGAAGGUUGGGUAACACUAACUGGAGGACCGAACCGACUAAUGUUGAAAAAUUAGCGGAUGACUUGUGGCUGGGGGUGAAAGGCCAAUCAAACCGGGAGAUAGCUGGUUCUCCCCGAAAGCUAUUUAGGUAGCGCCUCGUGAACUCAUCUUCGGGGGUAGAGCACUGUUUCGGCUAGGGGGUCAUCCCGACUUACCAACCCGAUGCAAACUGCGAAUACCGAAGAAUGUUAUCACGGGAGACACACGGCGGGUGCUAACGUCCGUCGUGAAGAGGGAAACAACCCAGACCGCCAGCUAAGGUCCCAAAGUCACAGUUAAGUGGGAAACGAUGUGGGAAGGCUCAGACAGCCAGGAUGUUGGCUUAGAAGCAGCCAUCAUUUAAAGAAAGCGUAAUAGCUCACUGGUCGAGUCGGCCUGCGCGGAAGAUGUAACGGGGCUAAACUGUGCACCGAAGCUGCGGCAGCGACGCUUAUGCGUUGUUGGGUAGGGGAGCGUUCUGUAAGCCUGCGAAGGUGUCCUGUGAGGGAUGCUGGAGGUAUCAGAAGUGCGAAUGCUGACAUAAGUAACGAUAAUGCGGGUGAAAAGCCCGCUCGCCGGAAGACCAAGGGUUCCUGUCCAACGUUAAUCGGGGCAGGGUGAGUCGACCCCUAAGGCGAGGCCGAAAGGCGUAGUCGAUGGGAAACGGGUUAAUAUUCCCGUACUUGGUGUUACUGCGAAGGGGGGACGGAGAAGGCUAUGUUGGCCGGGCGACGGUUGUCCCGGUUUAAGCGUGUAGGCUGGUUUUCCAGGCAAAUCCGGAAAAUCAAG